rnacentral:lncRNA from 1 species
CCUCUCUGGUCUUCACUCUCAGUACAAAAUCUGUCCAGGUUCCUUCUAAUGUGGACCUGGAGAGAACGCAGGACUAACUGUCUUCGAGUGGGUGGGAAGUAUUCCAGGUGAGCCUUUGUGAACAGGUUGACGGGACUUGGGUGAAAACAUUGUGACAGGCUGGCUUUGCAGUAACCUCUGGCCUUUGUUGUCUUAGGAAGACAUGGCUGCUCACGUGGGUGCUUCCCGGACUCCCCAGGAAGUGAUGGAGCACUAUGUGAGCAUGUACAUCCACGGGAACCUGGGGAAGGCCUGCAUCCCCGACAGCAUCCCCAACCGGGUGACAGAUCACACCUGCCCCAGCGGAGGCCCCCUCUCGCCCAGCCUCACCACCCCGUUGCCUCCGUUGGACAUCUCAGUGGCCGAGCAGCAGCAGCUAGGCUACAUGCCACUGCGGGACGACUAUGAGAUCGAGUACGACCAGGACGCCGAGACACUCAUCAGCGGGCUGUCCGUGAACUAUGACGACGACGAUGUGGAGAUCGAGCUCAAGCGCGCCCACGUGGACAUGUAUGUGCGGAAGCUCAAGGAACGGCAGCGCCGGAAGAACAUCGCCCGUGACUACAACCUGGUGCCUGCCUUCCUGGGGAAGGACAAGAGGGAGAAGGAGAAGGCGCUGAAGCGGAAGAUCACCAAGGAGGAGAAGGAGCUGCGGCUGAAGCUGCGGCCGCUGUACCAGUUCAUGUCGUGUAAGGAGUUUGACGACUUAUUUGAAAAUAUGCACAAGGAGAAGAUGCUGCGAGCCAAGAUCAGAGAGCUGCAGCGGUACAGGCGAAACGGAAUCACCAAGAUGGAAGAGUCGGCUGAGUACGAAGCCGCCAGGCACAAGCGGGAGCGAAGGAAAGAGAACAAGAACAUGGCUGGCUCCAAAAGGGGCAAGGAGGAGGGCAGGGAUGGCGAGUUUGCAGCCAUCGAGAACCUUCCUGGGUUUGAGCUCUUGUCAGACCGUGAGAAGGUGCUCUGUAGCUCUUUGAACUUGAGUCCAGCGCGCUAUGUGACGGUGAAGACCAUUAUAAUCAAAGACCACCUCCAGAAGCGGCAGGGAAUCCCCUCCAAAAGUCGCCUUCCCAGUUAUCUGGACAAAGUCCUAAAGAAAAGGAUUUUAAACUUCCUCACAGAAAGCGGGUGGAUAUCCAGGGAUGCCUCCUGAACAAGGGUGUCCUGGAGCGUCCCCAGACACUUCCAAGGCUGGAGCAAUGCUCAAGUAGCUUGUGAGCCAAAUGGCAUGGGGGGAGGGGAGAGGAACCGCCUUUUCCCCUGUUGCUCUUUUUAAACAAAUUGAGUUCCUUUUUUUAAGAUGUAAAAAUCUUUUCAAUGGUCCUCUGAAAGAAGCAAUAGUAACAAUCUUAUAUUGGAUCAUGGGGGAGACAAAUGUUUCUAUUUUAACUUGGUCCUAAAAGUAACCCUUGAAGAUGAUGAUUUGCCUUUGCGUGUUCCGUUUGGAGACUGUUAAGAGAUUGGAUGAUUUCCUUUUCUUUCCUGAGCCGCCUUCCCUUCGGGUGCAAAGCUGUGGGUGCAGGGAGUGACAUUUUCCUGCUGGGCCGCCAGCCACCCAUCAGCUUUCCCUGGUGACACACGCUCUUCUCAGGCAGGGCUGCUAUAGGCGCCCCUUUUCUGAGCCCACUGAUGCCCCCCCCACGACACCCCACAUGGCCCGGGGCACGAGGCACUUUAUAGAGGGGCCCAUGGGACACAGACCUGCCCCUGUGUAACAGAUGAAGAUGAGGCCAGAGAGCACCAGGAGGUUUCCUUACACACUUGAGGAAGAAGCCUUGUUUACACAGUUGAUCACGUGAGCUUCCACUUAGCUGUCAGCAGCGGCCAAGUGUGAGUUUGCAGCUCCCAAAUCCCAAAUCCUGCCUCUUUUUAGUCUGAGCCCAGCCUGCUGCCCACUUGGGGAUACCCCCUGGGUACAUCCUUGUUUUGUCCCAAGGAUGGGAACCCUGGAGUGGGAGGGUCACAGGACUAGUGGGAACUGCCUGGCUUCCGGGGGUGCCCCUUGCUGCUGUGACUACCUGUAGUGCAUUUGACUUGGAAGACCCCAUUUUAAAGAGUUCCAGGCCAAGUGCUCAGGGUUCUGAGUUCUGGCAUUAGCUUCCUCAGGAUUCUUCUCAGUUACAAGUCCCCUUCUCACAGAAAACAAUGACCAUGCUAGCCCAGCUAGGCGAAUUAUUUAGUGCAUGGCCAGGCCUGCUCCCGUUGGCUGGGCAGAGCCAUAGUUCCAGCCCACACAGGCCCUGGUAAGUGUGGCGGUUCCCGGCUGUGUCUUGGGGCUACUGUGCUGCUUCCUGCUCGCCCUCUUGCUUCUGACUCAAAAAUGGCUCCUUCCCAGCCCAACCGAAAAGCUCGUUUCUGGGGCCUUCUUCAAGGACAUACACGGUACCUUCCUUUUAAACUUGAGGAAGUCGCUUGUCUUCCGGCUGCUCAGGGUUCUCGUGCCCAGACCCUGCUUUAGAGUCCCUGGAUGACCAUAGACCCCAUUCUCCCUGAACUCAUCCUGCCCCUGUGCCCCCAUAGGUACAAGAGCCUGUUUACCUCCUAGAAUAUUUGAGCUUGAAGUACAUUAAAGUGAAGUUAUUCAAAGGAAAAAAAAAAACCCUCCUCAUUUCCAAGGACGACUUGAUUAUGUGCCUUUUCCUUUCUUUUUACAUCCUCUGUCCCUUAGGGUGAGUUUUUCAGCAUUAAACAAAACAUUCAAGUACACUGUUUAGUUGCAAAGUGUGUUGCGGGCUGGCAGAGGAGUACCUGCUCGCUAGACCAGGGCUUCUCAGCAGAUGCUGAGCAGUGACACUGCUCCAGAGUGCUGGCUGCGUGCUGCGCCAGGGACAGUGACAAGGAUGGUGCUGAGUUCUUAUAUCAUCACAGCCAGUGGUUCUCAGAGUGUGGAUCUUGGGUACCUGUUUACAAAUGCAGAAUAUGGACCCCACCCGGUCCUCUUGAAUUGGAAAUUCCAUGGUGGAGACUAGCAAGCUGUCUUUCAAACCCUCUAGGUGACUGGGAGGGAGCUCAGUUUUGACAGCCACUGGCUUUAGCUGUCCUGGUGUCUCAUUUGUUGAUUUUCUACACCACCCGAAUACUAGUUUGGUGAGGUUGAGUCUAGUCUUAUUUUUUUAUAUAAAAUGAUAGGCCUACAUUAAGCUUGAGAAGCAGAGGAUCCUGAAAAUGUGUGGCCCAGGCCAAGAGUUGUCCAGUGAAAACCUUUGUGCUUAAGCAGUUUUGUAGUGUGUGUGUGUGUGUAUAUAUAUAUAUAUAUAUAUGUGUGUGUGUGUGUGUGUGUGUGUGUAUAUAUCUUUUUGAUGGUAUGAAGAAUUUAUUUAGGCUUGACUGUUUUAAGACACCAUAAUGAAUGUAUAAUUAAUUUAUGUCAAAGUAUUAAUAUGUUGUUACAACAGGAAAGUAAUUUUAGGAUUGGUUGCCUCUUAUCCCAUCUGCUCCAGCUUUCUGUUAUAUUAGUUCUUACCUCUGCAUUAGUUUGGAGUGUUUAUAUUCAAUUCUCACAAUAAAUUAGCUACCAUAAUCCUGUGAACUAAAUCUUUUCAAAUUUUACACAAACUGUCUUUACAAAGUCCAAAAAGAUAGAUAGGUAAUUUUUCAGGCAUUUGAAAUAAUGCUCUCUGGGAGGCCAACAUUCCAAGAAUGUAUUAAAAACUACAACUCUGG